GAUGAACGCUAGCUACAGGCUUAACACAUGCAAGUCGAGGGGAAACGGCAUUUAGUGCUUGCACCGAAUGGACGUCGACCGGCGCACGGGUGAGUAACGCGUAUCCAACCUACCCAUUACUGUGGGAUAACCUGCCGAAAGGCAGACUAAUACCGCAUAGUCUUCGAUGACGGCAUCAGAUUUGAAGUAAAGAUUUAUCGGUAAUGGAUGGGGAUGCGUCUGAUUAGCUUGUUGGCGGGGUAACGGCCCACCAAGGCAACGACCAGUAGGGGUUCUGAGAGGAAGGUCCCCCACAUUGGAACUGAGACACGGUCCAAACUCCUACGGGAGGCAGCAGUGAGGAAUAUUGGUCAAUGGACGGAAGUCUGAACCAGCCAAGUAGCGUGCAGGAUGACGGCCCUAUGGGUUGUAAACUGCUUUUGUAUGGGGAUAAAGUCAAUCACGUGUGAUUGUUUGCAGGUACCAUACGAAUAAGGACCGGCUAAUUCCGUGCCAGCAGCCGCGGUAAUACGGAAGGUUCGGGCGUUAUCCGGAUUUAUUGGGUUUAAAGGGAGCGUAGGCCGGAGAUUAAGUGUGUUGUGAAAUGUAGACGCUCAACGUCUGACUUGCAGCGCAUACUGGUUUCCUUGAGUACGCACAACGUUGGCGGAAUUCGUCGUGUAGCGGUGAAAUGCUUAGAUAUGACGAAGAACUCCGAUUGCGAAGGCAGCUGACGGGAGCGCAACUGACGCUGAAGCUCGAAGGUGCGGGUAUCGAACAGG
rnacentral:rRNA from 1 species